rnacentral:rRNA from 1 species
ACAAUGAAGAGUUUGAUCCUGGCUCAGGAUGAACGCUAGCUACAGGCUUAACACAUGCAAGUCGAGGGGCAUCAGGAAGAAAGCUUGCUUUCUUUGCUGGCGACCGGCGCACGGGUGAGUAACACGUAUCCAACCUGCCCUUUACUCGGGGAUAGCCUUUCGAAAGAAAGAUUAAUACCCGAUGGUAUAAUGAUUCCGCAUGGUUUCAUUAUUAAAGGAUUCCGGUAAAGGAUGGGGAUGCGUUCCAUUAGGUUGUUGGUGAGGUAACGGCCCACCAAGCCUUCGAUGGAUAGGGGUUCUGAGAGGAAGGUCCCCCACAUUGGAACUGAGACACGGUCCAAACUCCUACGGGAGGCAGCAGUGAGGAAUAUUGGUCAAUGGGCGCUAGCCUGAACCAGCCAAGUAGCGUGAAGGAUGAAGGCUCUAUGGGUCGUAAACUUCUUUUAUAUUAGAAUAAAGUGCAGUAUGUAUACUGUUUUGUAUGUAUAAUAUGAAUAAGGAUCGGCUAACUCCGUGCCAGCAGCCGCGGUAAUACGGAGGAUCCGAGCGUUAUCCGGAUUUAUUGGGUUUAAAGGGAGCGUAGGUGGACUGGUAAGUCAGUUGUGAAAGUUUGCGGCUCAACCGUAAAAUUGCAGUUGAUACUGUCAGUCUUGAGUACAGUAGAGGUGGGCGGAAUUCGUGGUGUAGCGGUGAAAUGCUUAGAUAUCACGAAGAACUCCGAUUGCGAAGGCAGCUCACUGGACUGCAACUGACACUGAUGCUCGAAAGUGUGGGUAUCAAACAGGAUUAGAUACCCUGGUAGUCCACACAGUAAACGAUGAAUACUCGCUGUUUGCGAUAUACAGUAAGCGGCCAAGCGAAAGCAUUAAGUAUUCCACCUGGGGAGUACGCCGGCAACGGUGAAACUCAAAGGAAUUGACGGGGGCCCGCACAAGCGGAGGAACAUGUGGUUUAAUUCGAUGAUACGCGAGGAACCUUACCCGGGCUUAAAUUGCAGUGGAAUGAUGUGGAAACAUGUCAGUGAGCAAUCACCGCUGUGAAGGUGCUGCAUGGUUGUCGUCAGCUCGUGCCGUGAGGUGUCGGCUUAAGUGCCAUAACGAGCGCAACCCUUAUCUUCAGUUACUAACAGGUCAUGCUGAGGACUCUGGAGAGACUGCCGUCGUAAGAUGUGAGGAAGGUGGGGAUGACGUCAAAUCAGCACGGCCCUUACGUCCGGGGCUACACACGUGUUACAAUGGGGGGUACAGAAGGCAGCUACCUGGUGACAGGAUGCUAAUCCCAAAAGCCUCUCUCAGUUCGGAUCGAAGUCUGCAACCCGACUUCGUGAAGCUGGAUUCGCUAGUAAUCGCGCAUCAGCCACGGCGCGGUGAAUACGUUCCCGGGCCUUGUACACACCGCCCGUCAAGCCAUGGGAGCCGGGGGUACCUGAAGUACGUAACCGCAAGGAGCGUCCUAGGGUAAAACUGGUGACUGGGGCUAAGUCGUAACAAGGUAGCCGUACCGGAAGGUGCGGCUGGAACACCUCCUUU